GUCUUUUUGAAUUUAAUUUAAAGUCUAACCUGCCCACUGAAAAUUUUUAAAGGGCCGCGGUAUUUUGACUGUGCAAAGGUAGCAUAAUCAUUAGUUUUUUAAUUGAAAGCUUGUAUGAAAGGUUGGACGAAGUAUUUACUGUCUCAUAAAAAUUUAUAAUAGAAAUUAAUUUUUUUGUUAAAAAGCAAAAAUAAAAUUAAAAGACGAGAAGACCCUAUAGAGCUUUAUAUUUUUAUUAUUUAAUUUAUUUAGAUUUUUAAAAAUUUUAUAAAAAAAAAUAUUUUGUUGGGGUGACAAUAAGAUUUAAAAAACUUUUAUUAUUUUAUUACAUUGAUUUAUGAAAAUUUGAUCCAUUAUUAAUGAUUAAAAAAUUAAGUUACCUUAGGGAUAACAGCGUAAUUUUUUUUAAGAGUUCAUAUCGACAAAAAAGAUUGCGACCUCGAUGUUGAAUUAAGAGUUAUUUUUAGGUGUAGAAGUUUAAAGUUUAGGUCUGUUCGACCUUUGAAUUCUU
rnacentral:rRNA from 1 species